UACAGAGGGUGCGAGCGUUAGUCGGAAUUACUGGGCGUAAAGCGUGCGUAGACGGUAGCGUAAGUCAGAUGUGAAAGCCCCGGGCUCAACCUGGGAAUUGCGUUUGAGACUGCUCUGCUCGGGUGCGGAAGAGGGAAGCGGAAUUUCCGGUGUAGCGGUGAAAUGCGUAGAUAUUCGGAGGAACACCAGAAGCGAAGGCGGCCAACUGGCCCGAUACUGACGCUGAGGCGCGAAAGCGUGGGGAGCAAACAGG
rnacentral:rRNA from 1 species